CUCCCAGACAUCCACUCCACCCACUCUCAACUUGUUGCUGUCUAAUGAUGUUGCUAGAAGAUUUACUGAAUAUUCAACUUUGGUUCCCAUGCCUGAAAAGAAACAUGAAGGACUUAAGGAUUCAACAAGAUUUGAGGAUCACAACAUCUAUCACACACACAAAGACACUGGGGAGUUUACAUGUCAAGAAUACAUGUGCAAG